GUGCCCUGGGACAUCACCAUCUUCGCCGCCGGCCCGUGCGGGAGGCCCCCGCCUCUCCCUGCCCUCGGGGUUGGGGUCGGGGUGCUCAGGGUGGCGGUAGGGCUGAUGCGCUCAAGGCGGCCGAUGGCCUCCCCAUGCCGUGCCCACCGCCGUCUCCUCCUGGCCCGUGGGCACCCGCCGUCAGGGCUCCAUCCUCGCCAUGGGGCUGCGGGGCUGGGUCAGGCGGGGGGGCACGGGGAUGGCGCGCUGCCCGGCCCAGCCGCUGCCCAUUGCUGGGAGGGGGCCAAUGGGAACGGCGCUGGGGGAAACCCGGCGACGGCGCACGUGGCUCAGGCUGCGGGCGGCGGCUCCAUAGGGCGGCGGCGGCGGCGGCGGCGGCGGGGGAGCGGGGGGUCCCGGUGCGCGCCCGGUGCGCGGCGCCGCCGCCGCCUCCCGACGCUGCCUUUGUCUCCGGUGAGCGCUCCCGCG
rnacentral:lncRNA from 1 species